UAUGUAACUGACAUAAACCCCAUUAUUUGAGCUCUCUUAAUUGCUUUCGUGAUUUCUUUCUGUUUCUUCCCACAAAGACCAGGUCCUCGUUGCUGGAUACCUGUUUAUAUUGUGAACAACCUCUUCUCCAAAGCACCGUGUGAGUCCCGGAAUGUGUAAGGCUGACAGCAGCCGUUACCAGGAAUCAGGCCACCCUGACCUCAUGGUCCCGCGGAUGCUGCCAGGAAGCCCGAAAACUCCAUCCAAAGCUGCUGAGACAGAAUCUUUGGCAGAGCUGAAAGGAAGCUGAAAGGAGCGGUGCCGGGAGUUCCUGCC
rnacentral:lncRNA from 10 species